rnacentral:lncRNA from 10 species
CGAGAUCACACUAAUGCACUCCAGCCUGAGACUCCAUCUCAAAAAAAAAAAAAAAAAAAGGAAGGCCCUAAGACAACAGGCUUCAUGCCUCACAUUUAUAAAGAAUAUCAAGUCCUCCAGACAGCUAAGUUUGCUAAGUUUGUGAUGAUACGAAAAAUUAGGGAAAGAUUUUCCUAUUUUGUGAAUCACUGAGGGAAGCUAUGUGGUUAAGUACAUAAGGAAAAAAACUAGACUAUUUCUAGUUUCUGGAAGCGGCAUUAUCUGUAACCUUGUUUUGAUCGUCUUAAUAACAAUCCUUUAAAUGUUAAUGUGAGAAAUGACUAAUAAACAAUUAUUAAAAAUGAGG